CCAUAUUUUUUAUUUUUCCGAAAGAGUCAAAAUACAAAACAAAAUUAUCUUUUUUUGUCAAUAACAAGGGAGUGUUGCCAACGUUUUUUAAAUUGUUGCCAACUUUUAUUUUAAACUGUCGAUGUCGCUUCUAUGCAUUACCAUAAUACCAUUUUUGAAUCGAAGCGACGGCGAGGGCGACUCGGACAUAAAGUCGACGACGACUUUAGUAACGACAACCGUAAUUGGGCCGAUUACUAAUAUAAUUUUCUUUUCUUUUGCAGGUUGAUUACAUAUGGGUUUGGUUUUCAGCAAUGAAAACCGUAAAAUAACGACGCACUUCCAGCUUUAAUAUUCUUGGCAAAAAUUUAGCGCUGGCGGCAUCGCAACGAGGGAUUGGGAAACUUGGGUGGGAGAAGAUCUAUCCCUCCACAACAAUGCACCCAGGUUCCCCUAUGGUUUAUUUUGGAAAUUGAUAUUUUUUAAGGUGGUUAUUGUGGCAUCCACGGUGGAAAAAAAUGCCACACUAAGCGAAGCUCCACGCAAAUUUUUUUUCGCAGCAUGGCCGUAUCGCGGGUUUGUGGCGCCCGCAACAAAUUUGUGGUAGUAUACACAAAUAUCAUAUCAGUCAUUUGGUAUUUGUGUUGUGGUAGCACUGCGUAAAUCAGUCCCAAACAUUUGGGUGGUUUGGCAACAUCCCAAACAGAUAGCCGCUAAAUUCAGGCAAAUACCCCCGUCUGGAGGAACCUUUGCCGGGUUUAAAUGUUCACAUGACGAUGAUCAGACGUAAAACUUCACAAGUCCAGACGGAAGGGAGAGCGGGCACAAUUCCAACAUGAGUGGUAGUGUCAAAAAUCCCUUAGUCCUAUAAUAUUACUGAGGAGGUAGUAUUCGAAUUGGAACAACUCUAGUUUAGUAAAAACUCUUCGAUUUUUUCGAAAUUGUUCUCAGAGGUAGGUAUUUUUAACCCGAUUCUGGGAAACUUUUUUUUUCUUGGGGGACGGAUCCGGGACCCCAGAUUUUUGACCCGAAAAUCCGCGUUCAUUGGAAAGCUUAUGAAAAUACCUAUCCAACAGCUGAUCACAUGAUGUGGUAAAUGGUAAGCCAACGAUGUCUAUAUCGGCUAAUUGGAUCCGCGUCUAGUCGGGGUCUUGAACCCGGACUUUGGGGUCAAAAAUCUGGGGUCCCGGGUCUCUUCCCCCAUGAAAAAAUAGUUUUCCAGAAUCAGGGUAAAAAUACCUACCUCUGAGAACAAUUUCGAAAAAAUUUAAGAGAUUUUACUAAAUUAGAGUUAAGCCUUCAAAAUGUGUACUUAUGUGCACGAAAAGUACUAAAUGUUAUUAUAUUUGGCAAAAUUUCGAUUUGGAUGAACCGAUAGAGUUGGACUGCUAAAAUUUGGAAAAAAGAUAAACGUUUUACCAAACGUACACUCCUGUUGGGUUUUUUAUUAGGACUUGCGGACUUUCGGUACUUCUUUAACAAAUCCACACGGAAAUCUUCCUCGGGUGUACCGUUUAGCUCGUCACUGCUAAGAAUAUAACUCUGAAAAACGAAUGCAUCGUUAUAAAUAUUUUGGACAUUUCUAGAAAAGACUCAACUGGAUGGACUCAAAGGAAUCUGAUUAGCGGCCCCAAAAUGACAAACGUUUACAACUAUGUCAAAAUGAUGCCUUCGAGGAGAGUCCACUAUAGUUAAAACAGGCUGACAUGAUGACCAGUAAUCUGAAUGAGCAUGGCAAUCAAUUUGGGUUUUAAAACUGUGCCUAAAUAACUGGCAGUUCUCUAGAAUAUGAUGCAAUAGUUAUCCAUGAGAACUGCGUAAACCUAUGGUAAAUGGUAGUUACCGAUGAGGAUAUUCAUUAAAGUCCUUCCAAACUGCACCAAAAGAGAAGUUACUUUCAAUCUUGCUAGUUUAAAUUAACUAUUAUGAUUGAAACUAAAUGUCAUACUCACAUACCUCGUAGAAUAUACCUUGCAAUUUUCAGAAGUUUGUUAUUUAAAUGCAUUUAAGUUGUUACCUAAAGCCCGAUUAAUGACCGAUUUAAAUUCCCUGGCCAAUUAUCCGUUGUUUUGAGAGCAAACUCAUUAACCGGUGUCAUGUUCUAAGCAAGAAUUUCGAUGAAACCUCUAAAGGUUCAAUUAGGUGUGCCGUAGCAAUCAACAUACCAAUAGCUUUAAUCACAUCUAAUGUUAUCGAUUAGCGGCCAAAGCCAUACACAAUUGUUAUAUAUAAUUUCUGCAACAAUUUUCAAAUAUGGAAAUGUAUAAAUCAAAUGUAACAAGUUCAAAAGUAUCAGUCGUAUUUUGACAGCUGUUAUGAUUAUGCAAACUCUUACCCCUCUAUGGAGUGGGUUGUCCAUUUCAUACCAGACCUAAAUAAAUACGGUAUAAAUGUUGCGGCGUGACGGGUUCUGUCUAUAUUGGUAACUUCAUCAUAAAAUCCAUAUUCAACGCAAGUUUCUGAUUGAGAGAAAUAUUCGGACAUAGCCAAUUGUAAAGAAUCGCUGACUUGUUUCUUAAGUUAUGACAGAAAAAGUAUUGAAAAUUGUGACCCUUUUUGGGUGAGGUACCAGAGGGGGCUCUUCACAACAGAUCUUGUGUAUAGUGGGCAUGUAGAUUUUUUUGUUUGGAUUGAUUCUAUUAUUAUUUCAUUUGGCACCUCGAGAAAGUAAGGUUUGACAACCCAGAUUACACGUGGAUCUGUUCCACUGUCAAAUAAUUACAUUCCACUAUAUUGUAUUCCACAGCAAUGGAUGUUGUUCUAUUUUUAGAAUUCUGUAAUUGUUCGACUCUUCAUUUUUCUUCUUUUACCGUAAGGAAUACGUGUAACAUAGUUACAUGGCUCAUACAGUACUAUAAGCGUUGAAUCGCUAGAUACUUCAGGAUCACAGUAGCCCAGUGGUGAUCAUUGUAGACUCGUGGACAGGACACCCAGGUUCAAUCCCUAGUUCGGUUGAGUUUUUUUUUUAUUGGGAAAUAUUUUUUUUAUUAACUCUUAUUGUUUUGGUGAAAUAUAAACCUGAAAUUACAACGAUUUUUAACAACACUUAUUUCGGGUAGGGAGAAAUAUGUCCGGCGAAUUUAGUGUCGGAGGUGUUUCACCAUAUCUUCCCCUUUGCAAAUGUGGUGAAAACUUAUAUUCUCUUUUAACGUAGUUUUUAUUCGUUAAGUAAAUACAUGCACAAAAGACAAAAUCAUUGAAUAUGGCAGUAAAAUUUGCUGGAGCCAUUUUUAAUUCUGGGAGUUUUUUUGUGGUAUAAGUGAUUCAGCUAUUUACCUAAUUGAAUUAGCCGAGGUUAGAAAAGCCAGUGACAAGGCAGACAUCUUGAUCAGUCACUUCUGCCUUUUCAAUUGUGAGCACCCAGAAAUUAUACCCGCUCAUCAAAGGUAUUGCGUAAAGGAUUUUGUCUGUAACAAGGAUCAAACUGUUGGUGUCCUUUGAAAAUUUUGCUUGAAGUGGAAGCUCAAUUCAAAAUUUUGGCUUGGAUUUUCUGUGGUAAGAGCUACUCAAACCUAGACAUUUGCCAGCGAUCAUAUUGGUUGGGUUGCUCCUUUUGAUUUUCGGAGCUAAUUUUUUUCCGUCAAUUUGUUCUGAUUUUUCGACAAGAAUAAAAUAUUCUCUUGGAUUUCCUUUGAUUCGAUUUACUAACCCCUACAAACCAAAAGGUGGUUAUUACAAGAGCAACAUAUGCAAGACCUAUCCCAAACAGUUGCUUGUAUUCCAUCGGGUGAUAAACUAGACUC